rnacentral:rRNA from 1 species
UACGAAGGGGGCUAGCGUUGUUCGGAAUCACUGGGCGUAAAGCGCACGUAGGCGGAUCUUUAAGUCAGGGGUGAAAUCCCGAGGCUCAACCUCGGAACUGCCUUUGAUACUGGGGAUCUCGAGUCCGGGAGAGGUGAGUGGAAUUGCGAGUGUAGAGGUGAAAUUCGUAGAUAUUCGCAAGAACACCAGUGGCGAAGGCGGCUCACUGGCCCAUUACUGACGCUGAGGCACGAAAGCGUGGGGAGCAAACAGGG